UGUCGAGGAAAGAACGCCUGGUUUUCAGAUCCCAGGUUUCUACCCCUACAACCAGCUCCACUUAAGGUCUGUCUUCUUCCUUAAGAGUUCAAGGAUGGCAGCGCUGGACAAAUGAAUUCGUCGGGACCCAGUGUAUCACUGAUAAGGAAGUGGGACUAAUAAAAUGGCUGUAGGGACUCGGUGAAAUCAAGGAAGCCGAAGCUUGGUAUGCUUUUAAACACAUAAUAAAGAAUCAAUAAAUGGCAUAUUGAAUACUCAGAAAAGCUUGAAACAGUGAAGUAGCUGCACAGUGAGUCCUGAACUGAAUCGUGACCAAGUGGACAGCUGAAGAAAGAACACAAUGGAGGACGCAUUCGAGACUGCAGAGAGUCUGCUACUAACUCCAACAAUCCCAGACACGGGAACAGAUAAGGAGAAGAGAAGAAAAACAGAGGCAAUUUAUUUAUUUUUUUCAGAGAUUUCGGAGAUUGAAGCUAAGAAAUCCAGUUCCAUUUGAACAUCGCAUUACCCGCCCACCUAAUGGUUUCGGUAUGAUCUGUCCUCUCUGCUCAGUGCUCGGCGAGUUUCAAUCCUUGUUUUCUCUGCCAGAGGGUCAGAGCUCUACCCCGGGCUUUGUGCUCUAACCCCGAUCCACUUGAGAGAAUGGGGCCAGCAGUCUGGGUUGCAUGGUUUGCUCUCCCUGCAUUCCCAAGUAAGUGUUUAAUUGUCCAAUUUUCUUUUGCUUCUCUCCAGAAAGUGGGGAGGGACUCGUGGCUCAGUCCCAGGGCACCAAGUGUCCUCAGACCGCAGAACAGAGGGUCCCAUCACCUCCAAGAGGCUGCAUGAAAAAAAACAUAGUCACUUCAACUGAGGGUUUCCUAGACCAGCCAAACCCCAGCAGACCCACCAGCUCACCAGCAAUGCGUGUGAAUCCUGUCUUGUCCAGAUGAGCUGAGCCAAGCCUACUUCAGGCCAUCCAACUUGCUGGCUUCAGAGAAAAAAGAGAUUCCUGUUGUUGAAGUCAUUGACAUUUAUUGACCAUAUAGGAUGUGCCAGAAAUUGCUAAAUGCAGAAAACACAAAGAUGAACUAAAUAGGAUCCCUGCCCUUGAAUGUGUUGGAAGCGUUCACAAUGAGAUUAAGGAGCUGGAGUUGGAAGAAUCAAAUGAACCAUUGGAUAUGAAAGCACUUUGUAGAUUGUGAAGGGACCACAACCCAAAGCUCUGCAGGGGCAGAAUUGGCCUAGGUCCCCACUGACCAAGCACUCAUGCAGUGAAUGGCUGGGAACAGAGGAUAUGUGCAGAUUGCUCUAAGAAGACACAAUGUCGCUGGUUUGGAUGAAGCUGUUGCUACCCUCUCUCAUGGGGAAGGGACGGAUGCGACACUGGAGGACGUCAUGGCAUUUCAUUAGCUAUUGCCUAGGUGGGAAGUGAGGAGGUGCAUAUGGAGGAGAGAAGUAAAGGUGGAGGAGGUGAGCACUUGAUGAAACUGCUGGUAUGAGUAGGAAAUACGGAUAGUGAUAAAUGGCUCCAACAUGUGUACCAGGACAACAUGUGUCUAGGAUUACCACACUGAGGAUUUUGGGUCCUAAUGAAGUCCUGUGUAUUGUUUCCACUUUACAGGAAAGAAACUGAGGAUCAGAGGGUAAGUGACUUAUACAAGAUCCAAAGCAAGCAUAAAACAAGGGUAAUGUGUGUGUGUGUGUGGGGGGGGUGGAAUGGAAAUUUGUAAGCAGGUGUCAUGAUUUUAAAGUAAGAGCUUUCUGGGCUGUCCUCUGACCAUUUGGGGAAAAGAUAUGUUAAUAAAAGAUAUCUGUGGGCAAAUACAUUUGAAAUAAGAGUAUGAUUAAUCCUUAUUAUUUCAAAUGAGGUUGUCAACCAAAGUUCAAAGUCAACAUAUUUAAGGAUGUUCUUCUUGAGCUUUUUCUGUGUGCGAGGCUCUGGGCCUCGUGGCCGUCCAUUUUUAGCAGGAUGGAUGACAUGAAUUCUACCCAUGAGUGAUGCUGUACAACCACCCAUCUUUCUUGGGAGCAACUUGAAAGGCCGACUGGUUUAU